rnacentral:rRNA from 1 species
CUGCCGUUAGUUGCCAUCAUUCAGUUGGGCACUCUAACGGGACUGCCGGCGUCAAGCCGGAGGAAGGUGUGGAUGACGUCAAGUCCUCAUGGCCUUUAUGACCAGGGCUACACACGUGCUACAAUGGCCGGUACAGAGGGUCGCCAAGUCGCGAGACGGAGCUAAUCCCAGAAAACCGGUCUCAGUUCGGAUUGGAGUCUGCAACUCGACUCCAUGAAGUUGAAUUCGCUAGUAAUCGCGGAUCAGCACGCCGCGGUGAAUACGUUCCCGGGCCUU